AUGCCACGAUGAAUACGUUCCCGGGCCUUGUACACACCGCCCGUCACACCAUGGGAGUGGGUUGCAAAAGAAGUAGGUAGCUUAACCUUCGGGAGGGCGCUUACCACUUUGUGAUUCAUGACUGGGGUGAAGUCGUAACAAGGUAACCGUAGGGGAACCUGCGGUUGGAUCACCUCCUUACCUUAAAGAA
rnacentral:rRNA from 1 species